rnacentral:lncRNA from 1 species
GGCGCGUCUUGACGGACACUCAAACAGGCUGGUGUUCCUCACUUCAGUGGAUUCGUGCUCGGGCAUUGUGAAGACAGGCUUGAACUCCGAUAUCCACGUCGUCGCGUC